rnacentral:ncRNA from 1 species
UAUCCCUCAGGAUAGCUAGAGCUCAAAUUGAGAGUUUUAUCAGGUAAAGCGAAUGAUUAGAGGCAUUGGGGGUGAAACACCCUCGACCUAUUCUCAAACUUUAAAUAGGUAAGGUGUCGGGGUUGCUCCGGCUGAACCCCGACCUUUGAAUCUGAGCUCCAAGUGGGCCAUUUUUGGUUAAGCAGAUCGACUAGGCCGUUUUCGG